rnacentral:rRNA from 1 species
ACCGGCCUACGGGACGCAGCAGUGAGGAAUAUUGGUCAAUGGGCGGAAGCCUGAACCAGCCAAGUCGCGUGAGGGAAUAAGGCCCUACGGGUCGUAAACCUCUUUUGCCGGGGAGCAAGGGCGGGGACGUGUCCCGGCCCGGAGAGUACCCGGAGAAAAAGCAUCGGCUAACUCCGUGCCAGCGGCCGCGGUAAUACGGAGGAUGCGAGCGUUAUCCGGAGUUAUUGGGUUUAAAGGGUGCGUAGGCGGGCUUUUAAGUCAGCGGUAAAAAUUCGGGGCUC